AUGAAUAUUGUGGGAGAGACUAAAUGAAAUAAUUUAGCACCGAAGGAGCAAAACCAAAAAGUUGGGUACUAAUCUCUCAGGUAAAAGGACUACAAUAGGACG
rnacentral:ncRNA from 2 species